rnacentral:rRNA from 1 species
UACGUAGGGUGCGAGCGUUAAUCGGAUUUACUGGGCGUAAAGCGUGCGCAGGCGGCCCGUUAAGACAGGUGUGAAAUCCCUGGGCUCAACCUAGGAAUUGCGCUUGUGACUGGCGGGCUCGAGUACGGUAGAGGGGGGUGGAAUUCCUGGUGUAGCAGUGAAAUGCGUAGAGAUCGGGAGGAACACCAGUAGCGAAGGCGGCCAUCUGGGCCUGUACUGACGCUCAUGCACGAAAGCGUGGGGAGCAAACAGG